GUCUAAGGCCAUGCUACCAUGAACAAGCCCAAUCCCGUCUGAUCUCGGAAGCUAAGCAGGGUCGGGCCUGGUUAGUACUUGGAAGGGAGACGACCUGGGAAGACCAGGUGCUGUAGGCA
rnacentral:rRNA from 1 species